CAGGCGCAGAGCAGGUAGGUGGGUGGAGCAGGUAGGUGGGUGGGCGGGCGGCUCCCCAUUGUGGCGCCGCGAGGAUCCGAGGUUUUCGGCUGGCGCUGGCUCUUUUUGCAGACUUGACGGAUCGUAGGAGACCUGUGUCUCUCCCCUUCGCUCCCGGCAGGCGUGGUCCUCCAGCUCUACCUUUCCUCAGGGCGGUGGAAUCCGAGCUGAGAAGCUGCCUCACUCUCCAGAGGUACCAGCUGAAGCCAGAGAACAUCUACCCACAGCAGAGAAA